CCCCCUUCCUGCCCCGCAGCUGCUGGUGAGGUGGCCGUGGCCGCGGCUCCGGCGGUCCGGCGCCCCCUUGCCGGCCCUCUGCUACUGGCUUUCUGGUGUUGCAUAUCUUUGGAGUCAUCGUCAUCGAAGGCAUUGGUCUAUGAUUUCGUUGCUGUUUGACUACUUCGUUUACAGUCGAGGAGAUCCUGUGACCUUGCGGCUCGCUACACUGAGCUGGAAAACAA